AAGUCGUAACAAGGUUUCCGUAGGUGAACCUGCGGAAGGAUCAUUUCCGAAACAAAUUUCCAUACCAACCAACCGUGUGAACUACAAUUGUCUUUACUGCGGACAGACGGGGUGAGGCUUGACUGUGUGGUGUUGUUGUUGCUGCUGCUUUUACUUCUUCGGAAGUAAAGGUGGUGCAAUAAUGAUGAUGCGCAUAGCCCGGACUUGCAACGGAUGGACGCAGGCCUUGAUUAACUACCUUGUAACAAAGGUUGAUUUAUUAUCGUAUUUUCUUCUUUUUUCUGAAAAGAAAAAAAUCAAAAUAAAUGACAACUUUUAACGGUGGAUCUCUUGGCUCGU
rnacentral:misc_RNA from 1 species